GGCUGUAUGGGGGUGCAGUUGGUAAGCACGUUUUGCCUUGCAGCAGGAAAGUCCUGGGUUCGAUUCCCGGCCGGGGUCU